GGAGUUUGGGCCGUGUCUCAGUCCCAAUGUGGCCGUUCACCCUCUCAGGCCGGCUACUGAUCGUCGCUUUGGUGGGCCGUUACCCCGCCAACUGGCUAAUCAGACGCGGAUCCAUCUCACACCGAUAAAUCUUUUACCCCUGCACCAUGCGGUGCUGUGGUCUUAUGCGGUAUUACCAGCCGUUUCCAGCUGCUAUCCCCCAGUGUGAGGCAGGUUAUCCACGCGUUACUCACCCGUCCGCCACUAAGUUAAGUUCCAUCCGAAAAUUUCCCUUAACCCCGUUCGACUUGCAUGUGUUAGGCACGCCGCCAGCGUUCAUC
rnacentral:rRNA from 1 species